rnacentral:rRNA from 3 species
AAUUGGACCUGAUAUCAGGCAAGAUUACCCGCUGAACUUAAGCAUAUCAAUAAGCGGAGGA